rnacentral:rRNA from 1 species
UACAGAGGUCUCAAGCGUUGUUCGGAUUCAUUGGGCGUAAAGGGUGCGUAGGUGGCGCUGUAAGUCGGGUGUGAAAUUUCGGAGCUUAACUCCGAAACUGCAUUCGAUACUGCGGUGCUUGAGGACUGGAGAGGAGACUGGAAUUCAUGGUGUAGCAGUGAAAUGCGUAGAGAUCAUGAGGAAGACCAGUGGCGAAGGCGGGUCUCUGGACAGUUCCUGACACUGAGACACGAGGGCCAGGGGAGCAAACGGG